CACGCCGUAAACGGUGGACGCUGGAUGUGGGGCCCAUUCCACGGGUUCUGUGUCGGAGCUAACGCGUUAAGCGUCCCGCCUGGGGAGUACGGCCGCAAGGCUAAAACUCAAAGAAAUUGACGGGGGCCCGCACAAGCGGCGGAGCAUGCGGAUUAAUUCGAUGCAACGCGAAGAACCUUACCUGGGCUUGACAUGUGCCUGAUGACUGCAGAGAUGUGGUUUCCCUUCGGGGCAGGUUCACAGGUGG
rnacentral:rRNA from 2 species